rnacentral:lncRNA from 1 species
GGGAGAUGUGUUUGGCAUGGGGACGCACUGUUACUGUUGCGCUCCUGGUUGGCUUUGUGUCUCCGCGGUGUUCGUAGAGUCUCGGUGUUUCUACCUCUUAGCACCCUUUCCUGCGACCCUUUGUCCUGUGGAAGCCCGGAGACAUCAGCGGCUGCAAUUUUGCUACUCGCUGCUCGGCAUGGAACGGUCAGGACAAAAAAUAAUAUCUAAAGAUAUUUUGGCACUAACGGCGCUAUCUGUAGCAAGAAAGUUGAGCAGUGUGAACUGUUGAGACUUCCAAGAAGACUUCAGAGAACCAAGACAGUGUAAAGGAAAACAGGAAAAAAGACUUGUUAGACAUUAUUAAGGGCACGAAAGUUGAAUUGAGCACAGUAAAUGUACAAACUACAAAGCCACCCAACAGAAGUCCACUUAAAAGCUACAACUGGCGGGCCUCAAAGAGCUACAGAGCAUGCUCCAAAGAAGAGAAAUGAGCCCCUGAGUCCUGAGUUGGUGGCAGCUGCAUCUGCUGCUCUGUUUUGACAAGCAAACAAGCCAGAACUGCUCAGGCAGCUCCGUAGCAUGAGGAAGAGUCAGGGGCACAGAGAGAUGGAGAGAGACCCAAUUAGGAAAAACAUAUUCAAGGGGAAGAGAUGUAAUAGUUUUGACGUGACGACAGUUACUAAAGAAGCACCUGAACAGACACAUCACCUUCACUUUGGGAUGUGGAAUUUGCUAAGUAAGCCACAGAAAAUGAACAUCCCUUCAGAAUGGGUUUGAAGAGCUGAUCCAGUGGAUUAAAGAGGGGAAACUGGGAGUUCCCAAUUAACAAUGAAGCAGGAGCUGACUAAGGCUUUGAAACAGAAACCAGAUGAUGCACAAUAUUAUUGUCAAAGAGCUUAUUGUCACAUUCUUCUUGGGAAUUACUGUGUUGCUGUUGCCAACACAAAGAAGUCUUGUGAACUCAAUCCAAAUAAUUCCACUGCUAUGCUGAGAAAAGGGGGCUGGCGGCAUGGAGUCUUGCUCUGUCACCCAUCCUUGAGUGCAAUGGCACCAUCUUAGUUCACUGCAGCCUUGAAUUCCAGGGCUCGAGCCAUCCUUCUGCCUCUGCCUCCUGAGUAGGUGGGACUACAGGCAUGUGCCACCAUACUGAGCUAAUUUGUUAAACACUUUUUUUGUAGAGACGAGGUCUUGCUACGUUUCCCAGACUGGUCUCUGAACUCCCGGCCUCAAGUGAUCCUACUGCCUUGGCCUCCCAAAGUACUGGCAUAAUAGACAUGAGCCACUGCACCUGGCUCCUAAGUUCUUUUCUUGAGUAAUAUCUUUCUUUUCUUUUUUUUUUUAUUUUUUGAGGUGGAGUCUCACCCUGUUGCCCAGGCUGGAGUGCAAUGGCAUGAUCUCGGCUCACUGCAACUUCUACCUCCCGGGUUCAAGUGAUUCUCCUGCCUCAGCCUGCUGAAUAGCUAGGAUUACAGGCGUGUACUUCCACGCCUGGCUAAUUUUUUGUAUCUUUAGUAGAGAUGGGGUUUCACCAUGUUGGCCAGGCUUGUCUCAAACUCUUGACCUCGUGAUCCACCCGCCUUGGCCUCCCAAAGUGUUGGGAUUACAGGCGUGAGCCACCACGCCUGGCCAAGUAAUAUCUUAGUAUCAUGCCAUUGACAUUUAUCCUCUAAUUAUUUCAGAGGUGGCCUUCAGAAGGAGGCCUCUUUGGUAAAAUUGCUAUUGAGGAUAUUUCACUGAAAAACAAAUUUAUCUUUAAAUUUAAAUCCAGG